AGCACUUGUGGCGAUGUCAGGUCAUCUAAUAAGCUCCACAAUGGAAACCGCAGAGAGCAAAAACGACAAUAAUGAGCUACGGACAAACUACAAUGGCACAGCCUCAUCAGUCGUUCUGUACAAAAGCUCUGCGAUCCACCCUCAGAUGGCCACAUGUCAACCCUCUCCUAGCCGCCAGAUGACACACCCACAUCACAAUCCAUACCCACGUCCAAUGAAGACGCGUGUCGCUGGUCAGCCCACAAUGGAGUUGGAAAUUUAGACGGAACGAUGGAGUUCGCGAUAGCGGAGCGCGUGUCACACAACAACAAGUCAAACCGGAAAGCAGACGAUCCCCAGAGAAGGAGUACCAGGACUAGGACCACGACCAGGACCUGCAUACUGUCUGCAAAGAAGGUGGAACUGCAGAAGGUCGCAGCAGAACAAAACGGAACGUGCAAAGUGUGGGUCACGUGUCGCAUAUUAAGCACUGAACGCUGCUCGAAACGUAUGUCAAAUGCCCGGGCCAUCGGCAGCGAGGGGUUAAGCCGCCGGCGUGCAUGAAGCGAGGGGUUAAGCCAACAGGGCGAGGGUGUUCAGGCAGCCGUGACGCCCACUUGCCACCCUCACCCUUAGCGCCUAACUCAUCCCUCCCCCUUGUUGACUUUCAACUGUGUGGCCAGCGAGAAAUUACAUGAAACAGUGAGGGUACACUGAAAAACAAUACGUAUACCU
ensembl:ncRNA lncRNA:CR44862 long non-coding RNA:CR44862